rnacentral:rRNA from 1 species
UACGUGGGCGGCAAGCGUUGUUCGGAGUUACUGGGCGUAAAGGGUGUGUAGGCGGUUCCUUAAGUUUGCUGUGAAAUCUCCCGGCUUAACCGGGAGGGUGCGGUGAAUACUGAGGGACUAGAGUACGGGAGAGGAAAGUGGAAUUCCUGGUGUAGCGGUGAAAUGCGUAGAGAUCAGGAAGAACAUCGGUGGCGAAGGCGCUCUGCUGGACCAUAACUGACACUCAGGGACGAAAGCUAGGGGAGCGAAUGGG